rnacentral:rRNA from 1 species
AUUGAACGCUGGCGGCGUGCCUAACACAUGCAAGUCGAGCGGCAGCGCGGUAGCAAUACUGGCGGCGAGCGGCGGACGGGUGAGCAAUGCUUGGGAAUCUGCCUAUCAGUGGGGGACAACCCGGGGAAACUCGGGCUAAUACCGCAUACGUUCUUCGGAAGAAAGCAGGGGAUCGCAAGACCUUGCGCUGAUAGAUGAGCCCAAGUCGGAUUAGCUAGUUGGUGAGGUAAUGGCUCACCAAGGCGACGAUCCGUAGCUGGUCUGAGAGGACGACCAGCCACACCGGGAACUGAGACACGGUCCGGACUCCUACGGGAGGCAGCAGUGGGGAAUAUUGGACAAUGGGGGCAACCCUGAUCCAGCGACGCCGCGUGGGUGAAGAAGGCCUGCGGGUUGUAAAGCCCUUUCGUUGGGGAAGAACAGUGUCGACCUAACACGUCGGCACCUUGACGUUACCCAAAGAAGAAGCACCGGCUAACUCUGUGCCAGCAGCCGAC